rnacentral:tRNA from 1 species
CAGGGAGACUAAACUGAUUAUGAUGUCUGAUUAAAAUAUUAGGCCUUAAUCCUGUCACCUUAGGUCGAUCGGUACCUCAGAUUGAAAACCUUAAUAUCAGAAGAAAUUCUUGUAUUUGUUUCCAAUUUCAGUUCCUAAACUUGUCUAGGUCACACCCAACAAAACUUUCUCUUGAGCUAUUAGCUCAGGCGGUUAGAGCGCACCCCUGAUAAGGGUGAGGUCCCUGGUUCAAGUCCAGGAUGGCCCAUUCGUUGUUGGGGGUAUAGCUCAGUUGGUAGAGCGCCUGCUUUGCAAGCAGGAUGUCAGCGGUUCGAGUCCGCUUACCUCCACUGAUCAACUACCUGAUAACUCAGUUUGGAGAUUGUUAUUUGUUUAAUGUGAUUUAGAUAUUGUUCAUCUGAAUGAACCUAGCUUCCUGUCAAUCCUUUUCUUGGCUGAUAAGACGCUGGGCUCACUGAUUCUCGUAUGAGUAUCAGGAAGAUUCAGCAGAACCUUGACAACUGCAUAGGAAAAUCUAGAAAAACAAAGCAUCUCAUAGAUGCAUAAAGAAUUUUAUUCAAAGUUUUGGAUACUAUUUUUUAUGCUCGAUUCUUGAGUUAGAGCAAAUUCUGUUUGGAUUUAAAAAAUUUAAAUUUAAAACGAAUUUAAUU